rnacentral:tRNA from 1 species
GGUCCAGUAGUUCAGUUGGUUAGAGCACUGGUCUUAUGAGUCGGAGGUCGCGAGUUCGAGCCUCGCCAGGACCA